ACAUAAAUGCCAAGACACUGAUUGUAAAGGAGAAAAUACAAAAUGUGUGGAGGCUGGCAGCGAUUUCACUUGUGAGUGUAAGGAAGGUUUCGUACCAAAAGACAAUAGUAAAAAAGGACAAAAAGAUGCCGUAUGCAUUGCUGGAAAACAUGAAUGCAAAGACACUGACUGUAAAGGAGAAAAUACAAAAUGUGUAGAGGCUGGCAGCGAUUUUACUUGUGAGUGUAAGGAUGGUUUCUUACCAAAAGAUCUUAGUAAAAAAGGACAAAAAGAUGCCGCAUGCAUUGCAAAACAUAAAUGCAAAGACACUGACUGUAAAGGAGAAAAUACAAAAUGUGUAGAGGCUGGCAGCGAUUUCACUUGUGAGUGUAAGGAUGGUUUCGUACCAAAAGAUCUUGGUAAAAAAGGACAAAAAGAUGCCGUAUGCAUUG